rnacentral:rRNA from 1 species
GCCCCAGACUCCUACGGGAGGCAGCAGUGGGGAAUAUUGGGCAGUGGGCGCAAGCCUGACCCAGCAACGCCGCGUGAAGGAAGAAGGCUUUCGGGUUGUAAACUUCUUUUAAGAGGGAAGAGUAGAAGACGGUACCUCUUGAAUAAGCCACGGCUAACUACGUGCCAGCAGCCGCGGUAAUACGUAGGUGGCAAGCGUUGUCCGGAUUUACUGGGUGUAAAGGGCGUGUAGCCGGGCCGGCAAGUCAGAUGUGAAAUCCCAAGGCGCAACCCCGGGACUGCAUUUGAAACUGUCAGGCUGGAGUGCAGGAGAGGGAAGUGGAAUUCCUAGUGUAGCGGUGAAAUGCGUAGAUAUUAGGAGGAACACCAGUGGCGAAGGCGGCUUACUGGACUGUAACUGACGUUGAGGCUCGAAAGCGUGGGGAGCAAACAGGAUUAGAUACCCGCGUAGCA